rnacentral:rRNA from 1 species
GAUGAACGCUGGCGGCGUGCCUAAUACAUGCAAGUCGAGCGAACAGACGAGGAGCUUGCUCCUCUGACGUUAGCGGCGGACGGGUGAGUAACACGUGGAUAACCUACCUAUAAGACUGGGAUAACUUCGGGAAACCGGAGCUAAUACCGGAUAAUAUAUUGAACCGCAUGGUUCAAUAGUGAAAGACGGUUUUGCUGUCCCUUAUAGAUGGAUCCGCGCCGCUUUAGCUAGUUGGUAAGGUAACGGCUUACCAAGGCAACCAUGCGUAGCCGACCUGAGAGGGUGAUCGGCCACACUGGAACUGAGACACGGUCCAGACUCCUACGGGAGGCAGCAGUAGGGAAUCUUCCGCAAUGGGCGAAAGCCUGACGGAGCAACGCCGCGUGAGUGAUGAAGGUCUUCGGAUCGUAAAACUCUGUUAUUAGGGAAGAACAAAUGUGUAAGUAACUAUGCACGUCUUGACGGUACCUAAUCAGAAAGCCACGGCUAACUACGUG